rnacentral:misc_RNA from 1 species
UCACCCCUCAAGCCCCGUGCUUGGUGUUGGACGGCGUCGGUCCUUUGGCCGACCCUUCCUAAAGACAAUGACGGCGGCCUGUGGCACCCCCGGUACACUGAGCUUCUAACCGAGCACGUAUCGGACGAGGGUGCCCGGGACACGGUCUCAACCCACACUUAUCAA